AGAAUCAACGCUGGCGGCGUGCCUAACACAUGCAAGUCGCACGAGAAAGGGGAGCAAUCCCUGAGUAAAGUGGCGCACGGGUGAGUAACACGUGAAUGAUCUACCUCCGAGUGGGGAAUAAACUGAGAGAAAUCUUAGCUAAUACCGCAUAACACUUACGAGUCAAAGCAGCAAUGCGCUUGGAGAGGAGUUCGCGGCCGAUUAGUUAGUUGGCGGGGUAAUGGCCCACCAAGACGAUGAUCGGUA
rnacentral:rRNA from 1 species